CUUGUGUGUUAAUUGUGCGAGUUUGUGAAUGAUAUGUGAAAUUAUCGAAGAGACGGCAGUAAAAAAGACAGCUAGCAUUCUUUGUGUUAAUUUUGCUCACAGAGAUUGCUCAAGAUGGCUGUUACAUUAGAUAAGAUACAGAAAAUAUCUUGUACAUUAGAUAAACUGAGAAAGAAUUUACAGUGUGUAAUAUGCUUGGAGCUGCUUAAGGAUCCAGUGCAGACACGAUGUCGUCAUUCCUUUUGUCAAGACUGUGUAAGCACCCUUCUCCAGAAGUCACGUCAUCCACAGUGUCCUUUAUGUAAUACUGCUCUUGGGCGUCGUGGUAUCAGUGAGGACCCAAAGAAAGCUGCUCUAGUGGACAUCUGUCAGCGUCUUACCAUUGCUGUGCAGCUUGAUCUUGGCAUUGAUGUGGAAUCGUACAUAGCUGCCAAUUCCAGUUCACGUGAGGCUUUUAUAGAUUCACCAAGGCACAAAAAGUUUGGUUUAUCAGACAGUAACAAGGAAAAUAACAACCUAAAUGAUUUUCUCAAAUUGGGAACGGAGCCAAGUAGCCAUAAAACUUCUACAGUGCAAAGCUCAGUGUCUGCCAGCAAAGUAAAUGGGAAUGUAGCUUCCAAAAGUAACAGCUGGUCUAAGGUGAAAGAAAGCAUUAUUAGCAGUGAUACACCAGGCCAAGCAGAAGCUGGACAGGAUGGUCGAAACACAUGGAAAAAUUCUCCCUGUGAUCAGCCCUCAUCUUCAAGAUCGAACAACAAAGUCUACAAGAAUAAAAAGGAAAAUUCAAAAAAGCUGGAUAAUUUUUUAUUGCCUGCCCCAGUUGACAGACCUAAGGGACAGGAUGCCGGCCAUCUAGGCAGAAACAGAUUAUCUAUGACACGUGGAGUCCAGAGUGGAGGAAGUGAUGAUAAAUGCUUUAGCAGUGCUGUAGUAGAACAGACAUCCAGUGAGGCUGCUACUGCUGGACAAAGCUCUGGUGGAACCAGUGAGAAAUAUUGUAAGAGCUAUAAGGGACCAAAGACAGCAAACAGUAAGGUGGUACCUGGCGCUCUGGUGACAAUAGACCGUGUGUCAUCCUCUACGAAAGUUGAAAAAUGGCUGGAAAAGAAUAUUUGUGAAGCUGCAUUAGAAGAGUCAUUGCAUCCACCUACACCUCCAACAAGAUCACGUUCAUCAUCUACCUCUUCAUUUUCAUCAAAUGAUGAUUUGCCCUUGCUGUCAGUGUCUCAAAGGCCAGAAGGAGGUGGUAUUUUUCCACAGACCUCUCGUGAAAUGUAUAAUACAAACAGUCCUGCCGAUCCAUAUGAGUUUGUAUCCAGUCAAGAUGUUAGAAAACCAGUAAAAUAUAGGAAACCUGGGACUAAACCAAUAGGAGAUGAAACACUUUCACAAUUACUGCCUCCCCCAUCAAGUAACCCUAUUUCUCAGGAUGUGUCUGAUAUUUGUAAUUUAACAGUGAAUAACACCUUUGAUCGUCUGCUGCUUAGUAGCAAGGAAAUUCAGAAGCAUAAACAGCCUCCACAGAAAAAAAUUUCAGAGAAAGAGUGUACUCUAUUUACUUCUCCUCCUUCAGACAAUGAUGAUGACAACCAACAGUCUGACUAUCAGUCUUUCAUCGCCACAACUACAGCUGUCACCACAUUUGCAACUGUUGUCACAACUGCAACCACUGCUAUCAGUGCUGCAUGCACUACCUUUGCCAAUUCACCAUGCAGAUCAGACAUUGAGUCACAGCACUUCAAACCUCAUGUGUCAUCAACUCAAGCAGGCAAUGACGCCUCUGCAAGUGACAACAGCAUGAAGACUGUGCUCCAUGUACAGCUGCCCCAGAAAUCCAGGGAAUCAGAGGCCAACAAUGAUAAGACAGUUAGAGAUUCACAGCUCCUUUGUCAAUCAAGAAGUGAGUUGCAAAAUGGUAAUGAUCCGGCAUCGUCACAGCACAAUUCAUCACAGACUGUGAAUGACAAAGAGAUCACCUCACCAUCAUCAGAAAAUGAUCCUUAUGAUCGAAAGACGGUGCUGUUUCCACGAAUUCCGCCUGUGCUGCGCACGCCAGAUAGUCGAAGUUCACGCCUAGCAGCUCAAGCACCCGACACGCCAUCAUCUGCAGAGCCAUUCACACAUUUUGAAAGUCCAGUUCAGGAUACCUCAGCUCUUGAGAGACUGAUUCAGGGUAGUGAUUUAGAAUCCAUUCCUGAUGGAACUAUAGUACUUGAUUCACAGAGAAAUUUAGGAAAUUUUUAUGGACUGAAUCAGUCCAACACGAGAAUGGAACCAGUGGAGGCUGCACGUUCUCCACUUCAGUUAACACCAGAAGAGCCUUCUAAAGCUUCAGAACUUCAUCGUUCAACCCAGUGUUUGACGUCGAUGCAAUCUUUGGCUCCAGUGCUUGCAGCUCCAGUGGCUCCCACCGCAGUUUCAGACCCUGCUCCACAGCCAACCUCCAUUGUAUCUCCAACAUCAGCCAUAGGAAAACAAGUCUCUGCAAUCAGUUCUGUUACAGCUAAAGAAAAUAAGGGUAAAUUUGGAAAAAUUGACUGUGAUUUGGAAAAUGUAGAUUCAAGAAUAGGGUGUGAUGAAGCUGUAUCCAGUAAAUUGUCUCCUGCUGCAGCUGUUCCCUCUAGUUUGCAACUAGGAAACACAGGCAAAGUAGCACCAGUUUCUCUUGCAAUGGAUGUAUGGAUUGGUUUAAAUAACAAUGGAACUAUGCCACCAAAAAAACCAUGUGUCACAUUCACCCUAGACACGGAAAGUAACUCAUGUUGGUCUAAACCCGUCAGUUUGCAAGGGCAUGUGGAUGUAAGUUCAGCAGAGGCAAGUGGACGUCGCCGAAUUUCCAUUGCUCUUACUUUGGACUUUGAAGGAUCUGAGGCUCCACAGACAAGCCUAGAAGCCAACUCUGAGGAAAUUUCUGUUGAUGUUCCUGUGAGGUUGAAACCCACACCUACACAAGAAGGUCUAACGCGGAACACCCACGAUGCUCAAUUAAACUACGGUGCGUGCAGGUUGUCAACACUGGCCGCUACACAGGUGCAGCAUUUGCCAUCUACCCGUGAGGAGAAGACCAGUUGGGCCCCUUCUGAGAAAAGUCAAACGCAGAGCCAGCAUAGCCAGUGUUUGAGUCAGCCACCUUCUAAAAUGAAAGUGGAUGACUCAGCUGCCAAGCCAAGUGUCAAAUACGUUCACAGUGAUAAUCCAAAAGUGUCAGAUACACUGGACAGAACCCCAAUGCAAACUCAGAGCCAGAGAAACACUCCAUCUGCAUCAGUUACCAUAGACAGACCUCUCACACAAAUGCAAAAUUCUUCUUCUCAGGCUAGCUUUUCAAAAAAGACCAGUCAGGAGAAAUCUGCUGUUCAGACAAAACAUUUGAAAGGUAACUCCCCCUCUGGUGAAACACAUCCCAAGAACAGCAAUACUUUACAAAGUAAUUUGUCCAGGACCCCACAAGCUGUCGUUGACAGUGAAGGAGUUUGCUCUCAGUUCCAACAGAGUGACUCAGCAGAUAAACAAGGGGUGUCUGUCAGUGAGUCCCAAUCACAAAAAUCAGGUGAGAUGGCAUUGGUAGUAUCUGGCUGCAGACAAAAACUAUCAACGUCUCCUUCAGUACGUGGCACAGAGGGCUCAGUCAGUAGGUCCAGCUCACAGAAAUCAUGUGCGGUGGCAUUGCCAGCAUCUGGUAAUACACUAAGACUGUCAGCAUCUCCUGCAGUGCGUGACACUGUUGGUACUCCUGUGACGAAAGAGUUAAUGACUACAGAGAAUGGGAAUUAUUUUCCAUCUUCUCUUCCACAAGGUGACGUUAGUAGUCAUGAUACACUACGUGAAAAUGGUGUAGUAGGAACCCAAAAUGGAAUCAAUGCAGAAGACAAAUAUGCACCAAGUGCUACACUCUUCAGUUCUGAUGAGGCUGCUGAGGAAGACUAUGGACUGGGAAACAGUCAGUCACAAUGCAGGAAGAGAAAAGCACCUGAAACUACACCACCAUCAAGCAACAAGAAAACCAGAAGAAGAAGUAAUACUGAGUUGGAUUCUGAACCUAUUGAUUCAGAAGAGCUUAUGUGUCGAGUAAUGGAUGCUGUUGAUAGAGAACUUGGAUUACCUCCCAGAAAAGGGGAAUCCAAGCAAGAGACCCAGAAAUCUAAGCCAUCUACACUGGAAAUAACACCUGGUACGCAGUUGUGCUCCCAGGAAAGAUUAAAUAUGCAGUAUAAAUUUGAUGCCAAAAAUUGUGGGCCACCAUCAUAUCAGCAGACUCCACCACCACCAUCAUUGAGUGUCGCAGUGUUGGAAAGUGAUGAUGAUGACGACGAUGUAGUAGAGGCUACUCCAAGAGAUGUCUCUGCCCACAGCAUCAACUCCAGUAAGCACACAACUGUGCACAAAACACCUCAGAAACCAACAGCAUUAGUCCCAGGGCAAAAAACAAUAGCUACUAGAAAAUCUGCUUCACAAAGUACCCCACCGUCUGGUGUAAGAAAAGCACAAAGAGAUAUUUCAGUAAUGUCUCCAAAGCAGACAGAGUCAUGUGCCAACUUUCAGAAGAAAGAAUAUAUGAAUGCAGAUCAUCAGAGAAGAACUGUUACAUCAUCUCCUAGUGCUAAUAAAAUUGUUGUUAUGCGUAAUGUGGAAGAUGGUUCCUGCACUCCUCAAAAAAGGCAGUUAGUUUCUCAUUCAGCUUGCACUGGGACCCCACCAAGACGAGGAACUUCACCAGAAGUUGGAACACCUCGGAAGUCAGCUCCUGGUACACCACAUAGAAAACCAGUACAAAACAAAACGGGUGCUGGCACCCCUAAGGUCAGCCUGUCCCUUACUAGUGGCAUCCGAGAGAAUAGAUCUGCACAGCAGAGCAUACCGGUACCAAGAACUCAACUGUUUGUGGCAUGUACAGGCUUUCCAAGGCCACUUGCAGCAAAAAUUAAGCAAUUGCUCACAUCACUUGGCAUAAAAUAUUGUGAUCGUGUUGGCCCAGAAACGACACAUGUUGUUGUUCGGCCAAAUUCAUCUGGUCUUCCAGAAAAAACUUUGAAGUAUUUGCAAGCAGUUGCUGCAGGGAAGUGGGUUGUUGGCCCUGGUUGGAUUGACCAGACAUGUAAGAACCGCUGUCCUGCUCCAGAGAUUGCCUUGGAGGCAGCGGACCACGUAAGUCACGGCUGGCAUCCACUCCACUCUUCCAUGAUUUUGUUUUCUGCUGUGUUGGACCAUUCAGUGCUACUGCUGUUGAUGACCUUAAGGAGUUGCUGUCAUUGACUGGUGCAUUAGUGGUAGAGAGCCCUCAUCAAAUGAAGACCCGGCCUCAGUCACGGCACGUCAUCUUGGCUGAGGAAGACCCAGCAAGAGAAGGCUUCUUUGCAGAACUCUUCAGACAGUAUGGUAUAGCACCAGUUUCACUGGAUUGGGCCCUAGAGUGCAUCUCCUGCCACAGCCUCAUAUCAGUACUUGGAUCACUGCUUGCACCUGUAACUCGUGAACAGCUGGCAGGCCC
rnacentral:misc_RNA from 1 species